rnacentral:rRNA from 1 species
GGCUCAGGAUGAACGCUGGCGGCGUGCCUAAUACAUGCAAGUCGAACGAGAUAGCAAUAUCGAGUGGACGAACGGGUGAGUAACACGUAGGUAACCUGCCUUACAGUUGGGAUACCCUGGCGAAAGCUAGGCUAAUACCGAAUAAUUGGAUUGGAGGCAUCUCCGAUCUCUAAAAGGGGCCCUUAAAGCCUCGCUGAAUGAUGGACCUGCGGCGCAUUAGCUAGUUGGUGAGAUAACAGCCCACCAAGGCGAGGAUGCGUAGCCGACCUGAGAGGGUGAACGGCCACACUGGAACUGAGACACGGUCCAGACUCCUACGGGAGGCAGCAGUAGGGAGUUUUCGGCAAUGGGGGAAACCCUGACCGAGCAACGCCGCGUGAAUGAUUAGAAGGUCUUCGGAUUGUAAAGUUCUGUUGUAAGGGAAAAACGAUAUGGUGAGGAAAUGCUCCAUAUUUGAUGGUACCUUAUUAGAAAGCCACGGCUAACUACGUGCCAGCCGCAGC